ACCCAAGGACAAACAAAGUUAGAAAAUAAGUCUAAUUUUGAUUAGUUCUUUUAUUCAGGUAUUUUUUAAGGAGGAGGCAACCCGGUCCCUCCCUGCAACAUGGGUAAUAGCUCCUCCUCAAAACUCGACUGUCUUAGAAUGAAUUGUCUUCCUCUAACUCACAAUGGGAAAUAAUACAGGCCAGUGU